UGGCUGGACUGAAGGAUCCACACUGGAGACUGGAAGCUCUCAGGGUGGAGCCUGCUGGAGGCCGAUUCUUGACUCCAGGUCUGAGGAAAUAUUCCUGUCAACUCACCAUCGACACAAACACAGUGAACAGAAAACUCAAACUGUCUAAAGACAACAGGAAGGUGACACGUGUGGAGGAGCUUCAGUCAUAUCGUGAUCAUCCAGACAGAUUUGAUCUUCCUCAGCUGCUGUGUAGAACUGGUCUGACUGGUCGCUGUUACUGGGAGGUUGAGUGGAGAGGAUAUGUUGAUAUAUCAGUGAGUUACAGAAGAAUCAGGAGGAAAGGAAUCAGUGGAGACUCUUUGUUUGGAUGGAAUGAUCAUUCCUGGAGUCUGAGAUGCUCUGAUGAUGGUUACUCUGUCAGACACAAUUACAGACAAACUCGUCUCUCCUCGUCCUCUGACUCUAACAGAGUAGCAGUGUAUGUGGACUGUCCUGCUGGCAUUCUGUCCUUCUACAGAGUCUCCUCUGACUCACUGAUCCUCCUCCACACCUUCAACACCACAUUCACUGAACCUCUGAUUCCUGGAUUUGGAUUCCGGUUCAGUUCUGGUUCUUCAGCGUUUCUGUGUUGAGUUGAAUCUAAAGAGUCUAAAGUUUUUCCUCCUGUCAGAGAAACUCUCUCACUGUUGAACAGAUAGUUGAGUCUCUACAAUCUAUUUCUUGGUGAAACGAUUCUGAUUGAAUCCUUGGAAACUUUUUCUUCUUCCAGUCCCUUAAAGAUGGAAGCUGGGAUUAUUCAAUACAUUCUCACUCUUGACUUGUCAUAUAUUGAUGCUUUCCCUCAGUGUCACAUGUUGAUGGUUUGGGUACCCCUUUGCGUCAAUAAUUGAUGAGAAGGGUCCUCCAAUUGAACGCUGUACUGCUUAUGGUUAGGG